rfam:Triticum aestivum genome assembly, contig: Triticum_aestivum_CS42_TGACv1_scaffold_049762_1BS
GCAAGGAAGAGGAAGAGAGAGAGAGGUCCUAAGAGCAAUGGGAAUGAGAACAUAGAGGAAAAACUAACUUAUCGGGUCUUCACCUCUUCCGUUGAGGUGGAAAUCCCAUUUGGUAUUUCCCAAUGCCUCUCAUUCCUAUCGUUCUUAAGCACCUCCUUCCUCUUGCUUUUCUUU